rnacentral:rRNA from 1 species
GACGAACGCUGGCGGCGUGCCUAAUACAUGCAAGUUGAGCGAUGAAGCUUGGUGCUUGCACCAAUUUGAAGAGCAGCGAACGGGUGAGUAACGCGUGGGGAAUCUGCCUUUGAGCGGGGGACAACAUUUGGAAACGAAUGCUAAUACCGCAUAACAACUUUAAACAUAAGUUUUAAGUUCGAAAGAUGCAAUUGCAUCACUCAAAGAUGAUCCCGCGUUGUAUUAGCUAGUUGGUGAGGUAAAGGCUCACCAAGGCGAUGAUACAUAGCCGACCUGAGAGGGUGAUCGGCCACAUUGGGACUGAGACACGGCCCAAACUCCUACGGGAGGCAGCAGUAGGGAAUCUUCGGCAAUGGACGAAAGUCUGACCGAGCAACGCCGCGUGAGUGAAGAAGGUUUUCGGAUCGUAAAACUCUGUUGGUAGAGAAGAACGUUGGUGAGAGUGGAAAGCUCAUCAAGUGACGGUAACUACCCAGAAAGGGACGGCUAACUACGUG